GAGGGUGACAGCCUGUGCUGGCCUCCAUACAGAGAAUACUCUCCGAGGGGUCCCUGCACCCUCAGUACCUGAGGUUGGCCUUGUCUUCUCCACUUACCUGCCUAACUGGAGAAGCUCAAGUCUGUGAGAAGCUCAAGUCUGUGCAGCCCCACUGCAGGCAGGUAGGGAAAGACGCUACUGUCCCCUGUCACACUCUGGCCAAAGGCAGCACCGCACCACUCAGGCAGUACGAGGGACUGCUGUGUUCAGUAAAAUCCUUGCCUUGCAGGACCAGACUUCCCUUGAGGAUACGCGUGGGGGCUCUUCGUAUCAAGAUGUAACAAGAUGAAGCUCACUUUCCUCCCACAUGAGGGCUUUUGUGCUUUUGUACCUUGGCACUCUCUAUCCAGAGGACUUGAGGAUCAUCAUGCUCCCUGCCUCUUGAGCAAGGCUCUGAGCAAGGAUGCUGUCCUGUGAAGUAACCAUUAGCCACAUGUAGCUGUAAUACUCUAAAUAAAAUACAAUUUAAAAUCCA
rnacentral:lncRNA from 1 species